CAACCCUAAUUCUCAUUCAUCAGUUUCACAACAUUUUCAAGUCAGAGGCCCAAAAACGUCAAAUCAAAACACAGAGUCAUAAUGGGAUCUUUGGCUGAAACACAUAUCACUUGGGUUAAAAAUCUCCGACGAAGAAGCCAACCUCUUUGCUAUGCAGCCCGCUGGUGCCACCGUGCUUUCAAUGGUUCUUACAUCUGCCCUAGAGCUCGACCUUCUCGAGAUCAUAUCCAAGAAUGUUGCUCUCCCUAGGGGUCAACUGUCUCCUCGGAUGUAGCUUCUUAUCUUCCGACCAAAAACCCUGAUACUCCAAUCAUGGUUCACCGGAUCCUUAGGUUGCUUGCGGCUUACUUCAUCUUGACCUGCUCUGUUCGUUAGCUUUCUGAUAGCGGCGUGGAGCGUCUGUACGGAUUUGGACCAGUAUGCAAAGUACCUCACUAAGAACAAAGAUGGAGUCGCACUCGAUGCACUCUUGUUUUUGGAAUGUCCAACUACACCAUCGUCAUGACCAAGAUUCUAGAGACAUGCAAAGGCUUUCAGGGAUUUUUUUCGGUUGAUGUUGGUGCCUGGUGGUGGCAUUGAAGUCACUUUCCGUAAUCCGUAUGAUUGUCUCCAAGCACCCACACAUCAUGGGAAUCCUCUAUGUUCCCUCAUGUCAUUGCGGAAGCUGUUUCUUAUCCCGGUAUAUGUAUUGAACACAUUGGGGGAGAUAUGUCUCUAAAUAUCCCUAAAGCAGAUGACAUCUUCAUGAAGUGGAAAAAUGUCAUGAUUGGAGCGACCAACACUGUUUAAAAUUUCUGAAAAACUGCUAUGGACUGCCUCAUGCUGGCUCACAACCCCGGAGGCAAA